UACGGAGGGUGCGAGCGUUGUUCGGAAUCACUGGGCGUAAAGCGCGUGUAGGCGGCCCAUUAAGUCUGAUGUGAAAGCCCGGGGCUCACCCCCGGAAGUGCAUUGGAAACUGAUGGACUCGAGUCCCGGAGAGGAGAGUGGAAUUCCUGGUGUAGCGGUGAAAUUCGUAGAUAUCGGGAGGAACACCGGUGGCGAAGGCGGCGACCUGGGUCGAGACUGACGCUGAGGCGCGAAAGCGUGGGGAGCAAACAGG
rnacentral:rRNA from 1 species